rnacentral:lncRNA from 1 species
AAUGCAAUAUUCGAAAAAUGUGGGUUACAAAUGCCUAAACACAUAAAAAUAUUCUUCGAAAAUUGGGAUAUAGAAGCCUCAGGUCUUUUACCCAAGAGCACCCUGUUGGUGAAGAAAAACUUCAAGACUUAGAAGACAAUGUGCGAUUACAGCCAGAUCAUAGAUUUUCCAGUCCAUCUAUGAUAGACAAAUUAAACAAACAUGAAGAUAUCAGCUGCAAAAAUAGAUUUAUUUGGGGAAAUUUUUUCUGAUGAUCCAACACACUACUCUUUUUACCUGGAGAGAAAUCAUCAAUCACAUCGGUAGCAGAGCUUUCUGCAACCAUACAUAAAGAGAACAAAAUUCCUAAUGUUCAAUUCGCUCCAGUCUUCAGAAAACAUCCAGCCUUAUUAAGACCUCAGCUUGCGCUUACCCAGGGAAUGCAAGACAACAACCAAGACAUCAUAAUUCCUUCGAACACCAAAAGAAACAAUCUGCUUGGAAUGACAACAGACUGGGUGAAAAGAUCCAAGUUCAGUUAUGCUGUGACAGACUUUACUGUGAGUGAAGAAAAAAAUAAAUUACGUGCCAUCACAAAGAUCAUGUAAAGGCAGUUAACCAAGAUUGUAUUGAGCAAAGACGGAUAUUGGAAGAUUUCCAAUUUUACAAGACACGUCAUGGAUUUCCAUAAAGAGCGGAAGCCUGUUGCAGAAAAAACACGAGAAAACAUUUCCAACACAGUAGCUAUAGUCAGCAGCAGCAGUGAUGAGGACAAUGACCGAGACAAUGACAUAGUCAAAAGCAAUGGAAAUCAGGAUGGGGACAUUUCAAAUAGUGAUGCUAAGGACUGCUUCUCACCAGGAAACCACAGCACUGGCUCACGAAGCUCGAAGUACUUGCAGCACUAUUGAUUCGUUCAUCAUCCCCAGCACUUCAACCCUCGAUAAGACCACCACUGGGAAGACUGGAAGCGAGGCAAGAAGUAAGGACUCGACUGGAAGUAAGUAAAAAAAAACUACUCCCCGAGCUGUCAAACGAACUGCUACACCAGAAAAGGCUACGGAGACCAGCAACAUCAUGUCGUCGAACACUGCUGCCACAUCAACCUCAGCUAUUCCUCCAGAAAAGAAAAAAAACUCGUAAACAGGCUAAACAACUCGCUAAACAGCCAAAGAAAUCGAACACAGUUGCUGCCGAUCCUUCGGCAGGGUCUUCGACUGAGUUGUAUUUUUAAACACCGAUGUUUCUAUGCCGUCUAGAAGCAUUGGUGUAACAAACUGGAACUCAAGAAACAAAAGACGGCAGAUAGCAUUACAAAAAGCAGCCUGUGUUAGUAAACCACUCAAAAUAACGGAAUUCUACUACCCUAUUUUUCAGAAAAUAAGUGAAUUGGCUGAGACUCAUUUUGACCUUAAAGAAUCUCUAAGGAUGAUGACACAAAAUUUACAAAAACUGAAAGAAAAGGACAACAAACGUGAUGAGACCAUUCUUUCCAGUGGAACUGUUCUUACAAGAAUGAUCAAUGAGUGCCUUCAACAAGAAAGUGCGCCGUCCAGAGGCCGGAGAUAUAAAGAUGAAGUGUUGCUGAAGAACCGGAAAAAUUUGUGGUUUUUAGGUGGUAGGAAGAUGUACGAAAUCAUAUACGCCGAUUUCCGUGGCAUUUUCCCAUGUCCAAGGACAAUUCAAGUGAAACUAUUGGAAUACGACAACAGUGUAGCCGAAGGAAAGGUAAAUCGCGAAGGAUUAAGAGAUUACCUUGAUGCCGAAAAUCUACCCUUCGUUGUUGCUAUUUUUGAAGAUGCAACAGCUUUAAAAGGAUGUCGGAAAUAUUCAGCAAAACAGAACUCUGUCAUCGGAAAUAGCCUCCCUCUUGGUUCAACCGGCCUUCCAAAUGCUGAAGACGCUGUUGUGAACAGCGCAAUUGAAAUCAUAAAAAUGAUUUCCCAACCGAGGGCUACUGUUGUUUUCGUCGUAAUGGCUUAACCAUUUGCGGACUCCUUUCCGCCUAUGAGAAUAUGCACUUAUAGGGGUGAUAACAGGUUUACCUUCAACGACGUCCGUAAUCGAAUUCACACCAUACAAUUGGAACUGAAGCAGUUUGGUAUUGAAAUCCUAACAUAUGGUGCAGACGGUGACUCGAGAGAAUUGAAGAUGAUGCACGAACACUUAAAGCUAGGAUUGGUCCCCAAAACAAAGGAUCUAAAUGGUUUGCAGCCGAACAUUACAAAGUACGAUGCCUGUUCAGGAUGUUGUCCAUGAAGGAGUGAAAUUACGCACAAGAUUCCUUAAAAUCACCAAAAAUGCCAAAUUGAUAAUGCCCAUUGGUUCAAACUUUGUGAGUCCCAAUCACAUCUCCUUUUUUACUAGAAAUCAUGUCUAAAAAGUAGCACGGUCUCCACAAAUCUGACAUGAAUCUUGAAGACAA